AGUGAACGCUGGCGGCAGGCCUAACACAUGCAAGUCGAGCGGCAGCGCGGGGGCAACCCUGGCGGCGAGCGGCGGACGGGUGAGGAAUUCGUCGGAAUCUGCCUUUUUGUGGGGGAUAACGUAGGGAAACUUACGCUAAUACCGCAUACGUCCUACGGGAGAAAGUGGGGGACCGCAAGGCCUCACGCAGAAAGAUGAGCCGACGACCGAUUAGCUAGUUGGUGGGGUAAAGGCCCACCAAGGCGACGAUCGGUAGCUGGUCUGAGAGGAUGAACAGCCACACUGGGACUGAGACACGGCCCAGACUCCUACGGGAGGCAGCAGUGGGGAAUAUUGGACAAUGGGCGCAAGCCUGAUCCAGCCAUGCCGCGUGUGUGAAGAAGGCCUUCGGGUUGUAAAGCACUUUUGUCCGGAAAGAAAUCCCUGGAGCUAAUACCUUCGGGGGAUGACGGUACCGGAAGAAUAAGCACCGGCUAACUUCGUG
rnacentral:rRNA from 1 species